rnacentral:rRNA from 1 species
UACGUAGGGAGCAAGCGUUGUCCGGAUUCACUGGGUGUAAAGGGUGCGUAGGCGGGAGAAUAAGUCAGCGGUGAAAUCUUACGGCUCAACCGUGAAACUGCCGUUGAUACUGUUUUUCUUGAGUUCGGGAGAGGUUGAUGGAAUUCCAGGUGUAGCGGUGAAAUGCGUAGAUAUCUGGAAGAACACCAGUGGCGAAGGCGGUCAACUGGCCCGAAACUGACGCUGAGGCGCGAAAGCGUGGGGAGCAAACAGG